rnacentral:sRNA from 1 species
UGGAUGCAAGAUGUUAUACUAGGGGGG